UUUGAAUUGUUCCAGUUAGGGUUUGUGUUAGUGAACUAGGGUGUGAGGAUAAGAUCCAUUGUGUUCGAGGCUUGGUUGAGCCCAAAACGUGAAGCCAAGAGGGAUAAGGGAUAAGGACACAACUCAUUCUUCACUCAAAAUUCCAAAACAAUUUCCUCUUAAGUCCAUCACUGGAGCAUCGAUCUUGCCACACUGAAAAUCGCUUCCAGCGGCGCCAGAGGUUCAAGUGACCUCAAACUUAUCCCAACUUGCUCGCCUCCAAUCCUCUCUCACAAUAUCAAGCUAAUAUAUAAGCUCCUAACCAUUUCACCAAAUUGGUCAAAACAAACCAUGUACCUUAGGUUAAAGAAACUGAAAUUAAAUGGAAUUGAGGAGGAAUCAGAGCCCGAUAUGUUGGGGCUUUUAUUCCUCAUGCUUGAGUCUACAUGAUGAUAACUUACUUGAGGCAAAAAAUAAUAGGGAAUGAAAAACUACUAACCUACAAGGUCGAGGUUCACCCAGGUAAUUGCUAAAGGUUGAAGAAGAUGCUUACGAAGAUAAAACCAGAGGUAUUAACAGGUUUUGUGCAACUAGUUGCUUGGUAUGGAAAGGUUUGAAAUAAGGUUUUGAUCAAGGCAUGAAACCAAGACAUGAAUCAAGGAACAAGUUAUGGUUCAUCAACAAGGUUUUUCCUUGGAACACACCAAAAGUCAUGAAAGGCUUGAAGACUUAGAGGCACCAACAUGAGAUGGCUUGUGAAGAAGUAAGAUAUGAUCUAGGUUUAGGUGGUUGACUUUGGUCAAAUGUUGAUAAAAAAAGUCAAUAGUUGACCAAAGUCAACUUUAGGUCAACAAUGUAUAUUUUUGUGUAGAAUUGGAUUUCGAAAUAUUUGUAAGGGAACUUUGGGUGAUUUGUAAUGAAAUCCUUGAAUUGAAUUAUAUGUCUUGUACUUCAAGAAAGUUCUUUUUCCCUUCAAGUUUGCA